AGAUAUUUAGUCCAAAUCCAAGACAAUCAAUUUCGGCUUGACAGACUAUAGUGAAAAUCUAUAAGUAUCUU
rnacentral:tRNA from 2 species